rnacentral:rRNA from 1 species
UAAUACGUAGGGUGCAAGCGUUAAUCGGAAUUACUGGGCGUAAAGCGUGCGCAGGCGGUUGUGCAAGACCGAUGUGAAAUCCCCGGGCUCAACCUGGGAAUGGCAUUGGUGACUGCACGGCUAGAGUGUGUCAGAGGGGGGUAGAAUUCCACGUGUAGCAGUGAAAUGCGUAGAGAUGUGGAGGAAUACCGAUGGCGAAGGCAGCCCCCUGGGAUAACACUGACGCUCAUGCACGAAAGCGUGGGGAGCAAACAGGAUUAGAUACCCUGGUAGUCCACGCCCUAAACGAUGUCAACUAGUUGUCGGGUCUUAAUUGACUUGGUAACGCAGCUAACGCGUGAAGUUGACCGCCUGGGGAGUACGGUCGCAAGAUU